CAAUAGCGUAUAUUAAAGUUGUUGCAGUUAAAAAGCUCGUAGUUGGAUUUCUGGUGGGAGCGAUCGGUCUGGCGCUUAGCGCGAGUACUUGCAUCGUCUCCGGCCAUCCUUGGGGAGAGUCUGUCUGGCAUUAAGUUGUCGGGCAGAGGAUCCUCAUCAUUUACUGUGAAAAAAUUAGAGUGUUCAAAGCAGGCUUAUGCCGUUGAAUAUAUUAGCAUGGAAUAAUAAGAUAGGACUUUGGUACUAUUUUGUUGGUUUGCGCACCAAAGUAAUGAUUAAUAGGGACAGUUGGGGGUAUUCGUAUUCCGUUGUCAGAGGUGAAAUUCUUGGAUUUACGGAAGACGAACUACUGCGAAAGCAUUUACCAAGGAUGUUUUCAUUAA
rnacentral:rRNA from 1 species